rnacentral:rRNA from 1 species
UACGGGGGGGAGCAAGCGUUGUUCGGAUUUACUGGGCGUAAAGGGCGCGUAGGCGGUCGUGACAAGUCACUUGUGAAAUCUCCGGGCUUAACCCGGAAAGGUCAGCCGAUACUGCGGGGCUAGAGUGCAGAAGGGGCAACUGGAAUUCUCGGUGUAGCGGUGAAAUGCGUAGAUAUCGAGAGGAACACCUGCGGCGAAGGCGGGUUGCUGGGC